rnacentral:rRNA from 1 species
CGAACGGCUCCGUAUAUCUGUUGUCACCUAUCGUGGUAAAUAUGGCGUGGAUAGAGCACGGAAAAGCUGUGUAUAACACAGAACAGUGGGGUCACCGCUGCCCGUUGGCAUGGGUAGGGGGGGUAAGUGGGCCCAUAUGUAUGGGCCUCACCUCAUGAACGGCUCUCAAAGUACUCCGGGCCUAAACAUCCUGGGAGGAAACAGAGGCCUCUGCUACCGGACACAGUUACCGAGCGCCCUGCGGGGUUGGUCUUGUCUGGGUACCCGGCAGAGCCCAUCCACAAGCGCACGAUGGACUUCAGACCUAUCAGCUAGACGGUAGGGUAUUGGCCUACCGUGGCGAUGACGGGUACAGAGGAUUAGGGUUUGAUCCUGGAGAGGUAGCCUGAGAAAUCGCUCCCACUUCUAAGGAAGGCAGCAGGCGCGUAACGUUCCCAAUGCUAGUACCCCUAGUGAGGACGUAAUGGGACAUAACAAUACCCCUAUUGGAUAGUGGGUAAUUGACAAUGGGGCGGGCAUAAACACCCUGCCGAGAAGCAACUGGAGGACAAGUCUG